CUUAUUAUUAGGCAAAGCAUUUUCGGUAAAUUAGAAUUCUACAGAAAAUUAUCAAUCAACUGUAAGGUGUAAAUAAGUUUACAAGAUACCAAGGUUUAAGAUAAAUUAGGAAGUACUCUCUCUAACUCUUGAAAGAGAGAAAGGUCUAAGUAAAUACUGGUUUAAAACAGAAUGAUUCUCAGAAUAAUUCUUAAUAAAUUUUUCCUAAUCAUUGAGAUUAAAAUUGUAUCUAUUUAAAUUUAUUGAAACAAAAAAUUAAAGAAUAAAUUUACAC